GAAAGAAAAAACAGCAUCUGUACAAGCAAAAUUGAUCCAUUCUGUGAUACUUUCAUUUAAGAGAGAGAUUUUAGGUGUCUGGGGGAAAAUGGGAAAGGGUUGGCGACGUUACCAGAAGCUUAAGAGAGAUGAUAGUGCGUACACUGAAUUCUCUUUCAAUAAAAAUGCUUAAAAAGAAGCAUUUUAACGUCUGAAGGACGAUAUUUUCAAAAGAACAGCAUCAAAAAUGAAGUGACCUGGCCACGCUGGAACGGUUUUCCAGGUGACUGAGGACAUGGAAGAAAACCAAAAUUCAUCCAUAAGAAGGUUUCAUCAAAAUCAAUGAAUGUCAUUGGUAUGGGACCCAAUCCGAGAUGCUCAUCAAGACCAUACACAUACUUCAGGAAGAAAGCCACUCGUGCUUUACCAACCACAAAUCAUUCUUCGUCUCAGACGUCUCCAUCUUCCCUGACCUGAUUCUGUUCAUCAGCUGUGCCUGCCAUGCUGGGGCUCAGCUGGCUGCGCAGACCUGGGACAUGGAGGCCUUGGUGAAGUUGGGCCCCUGCUAUUGCUUGUGUUGCUGGAAAGUUUUAGAAAAAAGACACAAAUUAAAUUGUAAGCUAAGACUCUCUCUCCUUUUCAUCAGCUCUUCAGGGAUAUGCAAGGGCAGAUAAAAAUCAAAAAUAGAAGAGAACUUCCCAAGGACAAUGUGUUCUGUGGUAAUAUUUUAUCUAAAUAAUCAUAUCAUGUAAUCUUUUUCCUCUACAUAAAGACUAAUUCUCUGCCCACACUCAACAAAAUGUGUUCUUUUUAAUUCUACAUUCUUAUCAAAGGCAAAUGCUUUCCCACACUCAGAAAUGCAUUCUUAGUCCUCUGUGUAUGUGUUUU